GAUGGCUACUCGAUAGCACAUAGGGCUGAAAUCAACCAUGAUAAAAGGCCGUGUGCUUCUCUAAACCUCUCUGUGAAAGCUGCUACCCCUAAAAACGUUCACCAUCGUAAGCCUAAGAAGCAAUUUAUUGAGACUGAGCCAUACCAGAAAGGCUCCCCGCCCAAAAGACGCAAACAUUCCUUUGUUCCGGUUUCAUCUUACCAGGCCACUGUAUCUUAUGAUCCUAACACAGUUGCAGAGCAACUAAAGGCUACGGAAGACUUAGUUUCAUUGUAUUUGACGCCGGAGGACGAUUUCACACAGCG